ACUAAACAGAGAGAAAGUGACUCACACAAACAAAAAGAAUAUCAUGCGAAAAGCAAUGGUGGAAGAUUCCAAAAACAGGGACCGAAUUCUAGACCGCCCGAUAGGUAGGAGAUUGUCCGCAUCACGACGGUUGAAAACCGAACGGACUCAAUCUAUACCAAAACUUCCGCAUGACAUUUUUGAGUUUAGCAAAGCCAUCUUGACUAGGAAACCUUGACCUAUUGGUAAAUUGUAAAACUAAUUAAAUGUUUAAAAUUUUGUAUUGAUAGUUGAAUAAUUAUAUUUUAGAACCCUUGAAAAAGGUCCCAUACGGACCGAAACGUCGGGAAAAAUCAUAAACUAGUGUUUUCGAUUCCCCAAAAGACUGCAAAGCCAACAUUCCGAAGCAAAAUCAUCCCAGUCGCAUCCCAACCAAG